UUGGUUUUAAUUCCAAAAAUUGCGAAUCCCUUCAAUUUGAAGAAUUUUCGGCCAAUCAGUCUUUGUACGGUAAUUUAUAAAAUUAUUGCUAAGACAGUUGCAAACUGCCUUCAAAAAGUUUUAGAUGGUUGUAUUGACACUUCUCAAAGUGCUUUUGUACCGGGUAGACUCAUAAUAGAUAAUGUGUUACUGGCGUACGAGGUACUUCAUUAUUUCAAGAAUAAAAGAAAAGGGAGAAAGGGUUUUAUGGCUCUUAAGUUGGACAUGAGCAAGGCCUAUGAUCAUGUGGAAUGACCUUUCAUAAAAGGUAUGAUGUCAAAGUUGGGUUUUGCCUCUUCUUUUAUUGAUUUCAUAAUUCACUGUAUUAGCUCAAUCUAGUAUUCAAUUUUGCUUAAUGGUGAAGAAGGGCCAAAUUUUAACCCAUUAAGAGGGCUAGGUAGGGAGAUCCUUUAAGCCCAUGCUUAUUUUUGUUCUGCGGAGAGGGUUUGUCGGUGCUGAUAGGACUAGCCAGUCAGGAGAGAAAAAUUUCAGCAGUAAGGGUUUGUAGAUCAGCUCCACCAAUCACGUAUCUUAUGUUUGCAGAUGACUACAUUCUUUUUGGAGAGGCUUCAGAUAGGGGGAUUCAGGGGAUUAGAGACAUUUUAAGAGAAUAUGAAUCCUGUCCGGGCCAAUGUGUUAACUUUGAAAAGUCUACUGUAUUCUUCAAUUCGAAUGUGACUGAUCAAGAUAAAAGUUUCGUUUUCCAGGUUUUUAAUGUUCGGUGCUCGACUGAGGCUGAGAAAUAUUUAGGGCUUCCGAAUAUGGUGGGUCAAAGGAAGAAAAUGGCUUUUCAAUCAUUGAAAGACAUGUUGAAAUAGAAGAUCGAUAGUUGGAGCACACGACAUCUCUCUCAGGGUGGAAAAGAGGUAUUUAUCAAAGCAGUUUUACAAGCCAUUCCUACUUAUACUGUGUCUUGUUUUCUUUUACUAAAAAGUUUGUGUGGAUUUGGAAAAUUUAUUAGGGGUUUUUUGAUGGAAAAAAAGUCAUGGGAAGAGAAGGAUUCAUUGGUGUAAUUGGAAGUCAUUAUGCGUCCCAAAGGAUAAAGGUGGGAUGGGGUUUCGUAAUUUAAAUUCUUUUAAUAUUGCGUUACUGGCCAAACAAGGUUGGCAUUUGUUACGAAAUCCUAAUUCGCUACUAGCGUGUACAUUGAAGGCCAAAUACUUUAAAGAUUCAGACUUCUUAAAUUUCAGGUUUGGAAAUUUACCUUCUCUUACCUGGCAGAGUCUAUGGUCUGCAAAAGGACUCCUUAUAAAAGGAAUGGGAUGGAGGAUCAGUGAUGGUAGGAACGUCUCUAUCUAGGGUGAUGCAUGGGUCCUUGGAAGUAAAGAGUUUAGAGUUCAAAAUUUGAUUGUAAACUCAAGCUUGUUGUUAGUCGAAGACUUAAUUGAUGCUAGCAUGAGGAAAUGGAAAACUGAACUGAUUUACAAACCUUUUUGGAAAAGGACGCGGAAUGGAUCUUAUGUAUCCCUCUACCCAUGAAUCAUUAGGAGGAUCAAAUCAUCUGGAGAGGGGAGCCAACGGGGGAGUACACGGUUCACAGCGGCCACAAAUUACUUUUACAAGAGGGACAGAGUCAAACACAACCAAAUUACAACCAUUUUUACAAGCGACUAUGGAGCCUAGAUUUACCUCCUAAAAUUAAAAUUACAAUUUGGAGGUUUUUUUGUAACUUUUUGCCUACUUUCUAUAAACUACACUACAAGAGACUCAUGGGAUCCGCAGAUUGCCAUAGGUGUCAUUCCUCGAAUGGAAUCCAAGGAACACGUGUUCCGGGAGUGCCCUAUAGCAAAAGAAGCAUGGAAAAAUUAAGGCUUUAACUGGCCUAUUCAAGAGGAAAACACAGAUUUCAAAGUUUGGCUUAAUAACAUUUUUGAGUUAAAUGCUUUCAAUCAAUGCAGGGUGAUUGCAUGUGCUUUAUGGGUACUAUGGAAUACAAGAAAUAGUUUUAUUCAUGAAAGGGAAGUCAAGUCUGGAUCUCAAAUGGCAGAUUUUAUUAGAAACUAAAUUAAAGAGCUCGAUGGGUUGCGUACGCACUUACUAGUGAAUCGGUUUCAUAUGUGUCGAUGGGUUGCUCCGACGGAACUGUGGUUAAAAAUCAACUUUGACGCUGCGUUCAACAAGGAAAAGAAAGAGUCAUGUUCAGGAUUUAGUAGUAAGGAAUACAAUAGCAGAAGUGAUUUCCUCUAAAAUAGUUUUUCACAAAAAUAUACCUAAGGCUUUUUCUGCUGAAGCGAUGGCGUGUCUCCAAGCGAUCAGUCUUCGGUUACAUCUAGGACUGAAGAAGGUAGAGAUUGAAGGCGACUCUCAAACGGUGAUCCAAAAACUGCAAGAGAGAUCUGAAGAUAGAUCAGAAAUUAAAGUUUUUAAAAAAGACUCAAAGUAUCUGAGUCUAGGCUACGAAUCUUGCGUUUUUCAUUUUAUCCCUAGAGAAGCAAAUAAAGUGGCUCAUCUUAUCACGAAAGAUGGCUUACAGAAGAGAGAAACGACUUAUCUGCUGAACAUGAUCAAUACUGGAGUGGAGGGAGUGUUGGAUGAAGAUCGAAGAUGGACGGACUUGUCGUGGGAUUGAAUCGAUUAGAUUGAAGUAGGAAAGCUUUGUUGGAAGAUAAUUCUGGAAGAUGAGAAAGAGAGAAGCCCUUUUAAAAUUUUUUGUUCAAGUGAUGGAAACUAGUAAACAAUUAAUUGGGAGUCAUUAUGAUGGUAAUGUCUCCCAGAUGCUUUUUUUUUUUUUGGUUUUCGAGGGAUGGGUUUUGUGGUUAACAGUUGGCUAGUAAAAGCCUCUAGAGCUCCCCGUCUUUGCCAUGCUGGGUCUUGUUUAGUUUUAUUUCGUUUAUGUUUUUUGGACUGGGUUUAUCAGGCCCGUUUUCCUAUUUACUGUUUUGAGUUAGUACUGUUAGGCCUAGUUUGAAUGUGUUUUAUUAGUUGAAUAAAAGAUCCAGAU
rnacentral:lncRNA from 1 species